UUAACAAGAUAGUUGAAAGGGCUUUGUGCUGGACCAGUAUGUAACUUUGGCCACAGCAUAUGUUUAGAUUAGAAAACUGUGUUAGAGCAUUUAGCAUUUAAAGGGUUAAACACUGUCUCCUUAAGAGAUGGUCUCUGGGAAAUGUAAUCUUGUUAGUCAGUCCUAUAUCUUAUCUAGUCAGUGGGAGGGGCUUCAAAGUUUAUCACAGGAUGUCCUGACUACGUGCCAGGGUUGUAAAAGCCUUUGUUUAAUCAAGCAUCAUGCACGCAUCGAUUGGCAUCCUAGCUCAUGCCUAGCUGAGAUGGGAAAUUAUCCCUUUUUACCUAUGAGAAUGGACAGAUAUGAAUAUGACCGGAUGUAUCUGCUGCAAAAACACAGACCAAGCCAACAAAGCACACCUGGAAAAAGCUUUCCUGGGCUCAACAUCUGUUCUAUGUGACCAAAACUGGACACAAUAUUCUGAGAUCUUAUUAAGCAGAUUCCCACCAGCUUAUCCUACCUGGAAUUGUUCAUCUGUAAAGCUAUGACCUCCUUUUGAAGCAGUGCAAGAUCUUGCUGCUUGUUCUGAAUGUCUUCCUGUAGUUGCUGCUGCUCAAUCCGCUGCCAUUCCAGCUUCAACUUGCCAUCAUGGAGUUUUGAAUGUGACUCAAGCAGAGCCUUCUGCAGGUGCUCCAACUCUGGAAAUUGAGAGAGCCCUGUAAAGUUUGUGGAUGGCAGUGUUCCCAUUGGCUGAAUUCUGGUUCCUGAUUCAAUGUAUGCAUUACUCCCCCUCCCACCUGGGCUUGUGUGUCCUGAUCCAGACAGCUUUGAUAAGCAUUGUUUAGAAGACCAAGUUGGAAUGGCUCACCCUCUCAUCUGAGUGGAGAUCAUCAGAAUAUAACUAGUUCUAUGAAGGAGACACUUGAAUUGAAUCGUUCACCAAGUUCAUCGUUUAAACAUCUAAAAAAAAGCAAAUUAAUCCUAAUCUUCAAGAUGCUGCGAAGCCUCCUCCCAGAAGUGUGCCAAGCUCAGAUGGAGAAGAGGAAAUAGCAUCUUCUGUGGAACGAUUUGGGCAGUAAGAAAACUGAAGUGAGUCAAAUGAUAAAAGUCCUUUAUCAACUUUUCAAAACAUUUCAUAAUGAUGGACAUAAGUGCAAUUGGAUGAUAAUCAUUAAGACCUUUUUGGUACUGGCAAAAUAAUGGCAGUCUUAAAACACAAUGGAACCGCUGCCUGCUGCAAUGAAAGAUUGAAAAUAUCUGUAGUCCCUGAAAGACUAUCAAUUUUACAGUAAAUCUGGAACACAUGGUGGAGGAUAAUUUUCCCGUUGACCACAGAAAGUAGUAGUGCGCGUUUUUUUAUACAAUCAAAUAAAUCCCUAAAAUGACCAAAGAGUUUUGCUGUUCAAAAGAUUCAAGCUAAAAAUUGGCUCUAGUAUUUGCUAACAUUUUGAGAUACAAAUCAAAAAAAUCAAAACAUCUUAUUAUGAUGAUAGAUCAAAAAAAUUUCAAAAUGCAAAGUUUCAAAACCUUUUAUAUAAGCACAAAGCAAUCUUAGUGAAAUUAAAAACAAAACAAAGCAAACAUCAAAGGCCUUCCCAGCUCCCACAAGAAAGUAAUAUUCUGACUUUGCCAAUUUGGUGCUGAAUCAUGAAUUCACCAUCCCUAUAUCAGUCUCUGCCAUCCAAAACAUCUUUACUGUUAUCCAAACUACUGUUUGUUUUGUUUCUAUUUCUCAUUGAUUUAAUUUUUGAAGUAAUUAUUAUUUUUUAUGCUUUUGAAUUUAGGGUGUUUUGGGUACUGUAUACUUUAAAAAAACAAAAGCAGCUAUUAAAUUAUUGUCUUCUUUGACAAAGAGAAUUAGUGGAACAAGGAAAUGCUGUAGACAUAGGAUCCUUAGACUUCAGUAAGGCACUUGACAAAGUAGAUUGUAGCCUAUUUGGUAAGGUAGAACAACACGGGAUGGAAAGUAUCACCACCGGAUGGAUUCACAAUUCACUGCAAUAAUGAGACCACACUUGGAGUACUGCGUCCAGAUCUGGUCACCUCAAUACAAAACUGAUGCUGAAAAAUUAGAAAGAGUGCAGAGAAGAGCAGCAAAGAUGAUAAAGGGUAUGAAGACUAAGCCAUAUGAAGAAUGUAGGGAACUAGGUAUAUCCAAUCUAACAAAGAGAAGGACUAGAAAUGAUAUGAUAGCAGGCUUCCAGUAUUUGAUGAGCUCUCACAAAGAACAAGGGUUGACCUAUUCUCCAAAGCUUGACACAUCUUGCAAAAAAUUAUCUCCUAAUUUUAAUGUACAUGUGAUGUAUGAUUUAGUAUAUAGCAGGAAAUAUGUAGGAGGCAGUCAGGAAGAGUGUAACCUCAUAGGGGUUACAUGGGGAACAAAGAGAAUAUUUUGGGUUGGAACUUUAGAGAGAACCAAGCUUUGAUAGCUUCUCUCCCUGCUUAUUGCAAUAAGUGAAACAAAAGGCCUUUACUGUGUCUUGGCUGGUUAUUGGUCAGGCGAGCUUGCCUCUGGUCACGAAGGAAAGUAGCCAGAAGCACAUAACAAUUUCAUAUACCUGGGGAAAAUGAUGGUAGUUUAUUGAUUGUCCUUGCAUAUUUUUCUUGUCAUCAGACUUCAGUAUUCUAAAAUUUGUGAAGAAAAAGAGAUUUAUAUCAGCAGGACUAAAUCAAUCCUGAUGAUUUAAUGAAUAUCUUUCUGAUCCUAAUAUUCCUUUACUUGAAUUGAUUGAAUGAAUGAGGGAGGGGGGAAUAAUUAUACUGACAUAUGACAUGUUGGAUGUUUAUGAAGUGAAUGAAACAGGGAGCAAACUUUGAUGUUUACUCUGACACCCUUUAUAUACCAGAAUAUAUACAAAGUUUUAAUGAUAUUCAGUAGCAAAUAUGUUUCAUGUGAAAUAACAUAUUUUUAAAAAACAUAAUCUAAUAUAAGCUAAUACAUGACUGAAGAAUGCUCUCAUUCAAAACAAAAUGUUGAAACACUAAUGUGAUUUUGAAACCUGUAUGUAACAAUAUUCAAAAUUAUGAGGAAUUUCAAAUGAUUUUGGUGGGUACCUUCCUUACUGUUUCCUAGAGAAGAUAUGUAUGUAUGAUAGGAUUCCUUUCCAACAUAAGUUACCAACAUUAAACCUGUACUAUCUGAAUUAA